GUCAAACUGUUGUCUCCAGUGGUCCCGCACCAAACUUCAUCCCGAACAAAUUAAGGAUUACACCAUCCAGUCUGAAGACGUCUGUCCCAUCAAGGCAGUAGUGUUUCUGACGGUUCGUGGAAAGAGAGUUUGCUCCAAUCCAGAGAUUAGCUGGGUAAAAAAUGCAAUUCUGAAGGUGGACCGGCGAGAAUGUCUGGCAAAGCGACAAUGGUUUGCAUGACACCAGCACCAUCCAUGACUUCAGAAAAUGAAGCAGCAUCAACAACCGACAUGACAACAACGCCAGCACCAUCGACGACAUCAGCACGCAGAAAACCCCCUAAUAAACACAGACUGGGGAAAAGAUUGAGGAAAAUGAUCAGGAAAAUUAGGAGGAGAACGAUGAGAAAAAGGCGCCUGUGUAGAAGCAUAACAAGAAUUAAGAAAGUGUUAUACUUCUUCUUCUUCCUCGCCCUGCUGUACCUACAAACCUAUAAGAAAUGUGUAGAAAUAUAUAUAUAUAUGUACAACAAAACUUAUAUUUUGACCAUAUUCUGUUGUUAUAAAUGUGCACACUGUAAAACCAAACUGCUUAAUUUGAAGGUUCCUGCUCUCAGUUGUAAAAACAUUUUUGUACUGCAAAUAUUUCUGUGUUUUUACUUUGUUGAUAAAGUAUUCUGACAUUUGA